GAUGAACGCUAGCGAUAGGCUUAACACAUGCAAGUCGAGGGGCAGCAUUAUUUUAGCUUGCUAAGAUAGAUGGCGACCGGCGCACGGGUGCGUAACGCGUAUGCAACCUGCCUGUAAUUAGGGAAUAACCCGGUGAAAGUCGGACUAAUACCCUAUAUUCUUCUUUCUCCGCAUGGGGAAGGACGGAAAGAUUUAUUGAUUACAGAUGGGCAUGCGUCCCAUUAGCUUGUUGGUAAGGUAACGGCUUACCAAGGCAACGAUGGGUAGGGGGACUGAGAGGUUGACCCCCCACACUGGUACUGAGACACGGACCAGACUCCUACGGGAGGCAGCAGUGAGGAAUAUUGGUCAAUGGGCGAGAGCCUGAACCAGCCAAGUCGCGUGAAGGACGACGGUUCUAUGGAUUGUAAACUUUCUUUUGUAGAGGAAUAAAUGGCAAGCUAACGUGUAGGUGAAGAAGCAAU
rnacentral:rRNA from 1 species